rnacentral:piRNA from 1 species
UGGCUGUCCUCUGGUGAUCACGUAUAUCGU